UACGUCGGGCGCAAGCGUUAUCCGGAAUUAUUGGGCGUAAAGAGCUCGUAGGCGGUUUGUCGCGUCUGCCGUGAAAGUCCGGGGCUCAACUCCGGAUCUGCGGUGGGUACGGGCAGACUAGAGUGAUGUAGGGGAGACUGGAAUUCCUGGUGUAGCGGUGAAAUGCGCAGAUAUCAGGAGGAACACCGGUGGCGAAGGCGGGUCUCUGGGCAACAACUGACGCUGAGGAGCGAAAGCGUGGGGAGCGAACAGG
rnacentral:rRNA from 1 species